rnacentral:misc_RNA from 1 species
GAAAUGCGAUAAGUAGUGUGAAUUGCAGAAUUCAGUGAAUCAUCGAAUCUUUGAACGCACCUUGCGCUCCUUGGUAUUCCUUGGAGCAUGCCUGUUUGAGUAUCAUGAAAUCUUCAAAGUAAAUCUUUUGUUAACUCAAUUGGUUUCUACUUUGGUAUUGGAGGUCUUUGCAGCUUCACACCUGCUCCUCUUUGUUCAUUAGCUGGAUCUCAGUGUUAUGCUUGGUUCCACUCGGCGUGAUAAGUUAUCUAUCGCUGAGGACACUGUAAAAGGUGGCCAAGGUAAAUGCAGAUGAACCGCUUCUAAUAGUCCAUUGACUUGGACAAUACUUUUAUGAUCUGAUCUCAAAUCAGGUAGGACUACCUGCUGAACUUAAGC